rnacentral:lncRNA from 1 species
UCUGAGUCAUUUUUUCUUAAUAGAUUAUUACAUCCCAUUUACCUUUAUUGAAAAUCUUUCUAAAGUAGUUUGUAGAGGGAAACAUUAAUUUGUUCAGGUAAAUAAAUACAGUAAUUCUAGUAUCCAAUAAGAAAUUACAAAUUCUAGAUAUGUGAAACUAAUUAACACUGGAAAAAAGUAAAACCCCAUAACCUUAUAGAAAUGUGUUGUUCUUGUGGUGGCUCAUGCCUGUAAUCCCAGCACCUUCAGAAGCUGAGGUGGGAGGAUCAGUUGAGGCCAGGUGUUUGAGACUAGCCUGGGCAACAUAACAAGACCCUGUCUCUACAAAAAGAAAAGAAAGACAUGUAUUAGUCUCAGUUAAAGCUUGUAUAAAGCAAGCAACAAAAAUGCUCAAAUAUACAAAUGCAUGGGUAAAUAAAGCCCUGAACCUUAAUGUGGGAACCGUAAAAGCAAAUGUGAAUAUGGCAUUUCAAGACUACAUAACUGAGAAGCAAGCCAAACUAUAAAAUAAAUUAAUUCCUGUAGAAUAAAUACAGAGAAAGCAAAUGUAACUGUAAAAAUGGAGCAAAACAUGUUGCAAAAUCCUGUGAAUGUGAAUAGAUUUCUAUAUAGCCAUAGAACUUGUAGAUUAACAAAUGGUUCAAGAAGAACUGGUACAAUGGAGACAGAAAAAUGACUUCCAAUGUUACAACUGCUUAUAGAAAAGAUAAAUAUUCACUUAUGUACAACAAGCAAUAAAAAAGGAAGACGUCUAAUAGAAAUUGGCUUUUGAAUGACCGUAAUUAUUAACAAGAAAAUAAUUUUAGAAGUAUCAGAUAGGUUCUAUUCUUCAUUCUCAAAAUCUAGACUACCAUUUCUGCUGGAAUCCAGAUUAUAUACUUCAUCUGUGUCACUCAUUGCAUUAAGAGUCAUCAGUCCUUUAAACCAGCGGUCCCCAACCUAUUUGGCACCAGGGACAGGUUUCGUGGAAGACAAUUUUUCCACGGACCAGGGGCCUGGGAGGGAUGGUGUCAGGAUG